UAUUUUGGCAAAUGUUAUUUCUUUUUAGUCAUGAGCAUCCAUUGAAAGAUUUGUUUAUGAGAAUUUGAUUUGUGUGAUUCUGUUAGAAUUUCCAUAAUUACAAGAACUGAUAAUUACCUUCAAUCUUUCUUCAGGUCAAGUGCAUCUUCUGUGAGCCCUCUUCUCCUUGUGGAUGCUAUCCCUACAUGCAAUCUAGGGGUCAAAGUUCACAUCCUGGUAGCCGAGUAUGAUCCACCUGUACAUCAAACACAAGCACAAGAUUACAGCAAGCUUCUAGCAGCUAGUGGUCUAGAUGUUGAAAUGAUGACGUUACCCGGUAGAGAUCAUUUUGAGGAGAUCAUGGAGUUACCUGAUGAAAACUGCCCAUUUCAAAAGGUCUUCCUUCGAGCGAUGGGUUUGACAUCUUGAUGGCCAUCCUUCAAGACAAUAGUAAAGUGAACUUCUGUGGUAAUAUUUGGCUGAGUUCUGCAUGGUUAAGGACCAAACUUUGAUGCCACAAUAAUGCACAGGCCUCUGUAUAAUUUUGUAUAAUCCACCUGUAUAUACUGGCCAUGUAUUUUGUCUCUCUUCAAAGUAAAGUGAACUUAUGUGGUAAUAUAUUGGUAAAAUAGUUAAAGAGGUUGAGUUCUGGCUACGGACCAAAGUUUGAUGCCACAAGAAUGCACAGGCCCAUAUAAAGUUAAUCAUGUCUUUGUGACUGCCUCUCUAUAAUAUAAUCCACCUGUUUAUAGUGGCCAUGUAUUUUGUCUCUUCAUACAAAGUAAGGUGAACCUCUGAGGUAAUAUAUUGGUAACAUAUUCAUUAUAGGGUGCGUUUGUACAACAUGACACAGCUGUGGCGCGCGCUCCCUCUCCGAACCGGAAAUUUGCCUGGGACCGAAAUAAUGUAUACGCGCUCCAAAACAGCUUUGCGUUUAUCAUCUCUCAGAAACGUAAGUCUGGCUCAUAGUGGGUAUCAAAACGCACUUUUGUUAGCGUUUUUCUAAUAUACACAUAUAUUCCUGGCAGGAAUUAAUUCUUUGAAAUGCUAGAGCGCCGUAAUGGCAGCACAGCUAAAGUCAGGGUAAUAAUCUCCAAGUGUGGAAGCACUUAGUGAUUGUAAUAAGCGCUAUAUAAAACUGAGUAUUAGUAUUAUGCCUAUAUCUAAUUAAAGACGUUUGAAAACGUUUGUGCGUUUAUCAACAUGCACAAUUUGCCUGAAUCAAGUUUGAAAACGCUGAUUAUAGGCUUGACAAGAUUUGAUAAACGCACCCAAAGAUACAGAGAAGGCUGAGGUGCAGAUGUAAGAAUAUUAACAAUAUUGAAAGUUUGAUUUGUUGGAGCGCAUGGGUUUGCAUGCUAGAUUGUUUAUUGAAUGGCUGAAAGUAGUUGCAUUUUCUUUGUAAAGAUUUCAAAGGGAAAACCCAUGCAUUGUUAUGUGUUGUUUAAAGACGAGCAUAAUGUAGUACACCAUGUGAUUCAUAAUCUAUUUGAGAUAUGAGGACUAUCAUCACUUGCUAAGAAGUUAUUCAGUGUUCUUUUUGUGAUUCAGUUUUGUUGUUCAAUAAUCCUGUGGCUGAGACUUUUGCAAAUCUUGAUCGUUUUUGCAUAAUCUAUGAAAGUGUUUUGUUUUAUAUUAGAUCAGUCGCAACUUAUUAACACUUCCUUUAGGGCGCACACCUCUCCAUUGUUUAAAUCAUUAAAAUUACUUAAACUUCCAGA
rnacentral:lncRNA from 1 species